rnacentral:piRNA from 1 species
UAGGAGCUGAUACUAGCUCAUGAGUUGCCA